rfam:Anaerolinea thermophila TNI-1 DNA, complete genome.
UUUGGUGAUAGGAGCGACGUUGGUACACCCGGCAACAUCCCGAACCCGGUCGUUAAGGACGUCAGCGCCGAUGGUACUUGGGGGGCGACCCCCUGGGAGAGUAGGUCAUCGCCAAAA